GAGAGCCAGUCCCCGCGAAGCCAUCUCCUUGAAAAGCUUGUAAGCUUCGAAGGAUCGCUUCUCCUUGCCGAGGCCAUCAAUGAGCGAGGUGUAAGUGACCACGUCCGGCGUGCAGCCAUUGUCGACGAUCUUGCGAAGGAGAUCAAUGGCUUCUUCGAGGCGUCCCAUCUUGCAAAGACCAUUGAGGAGAGCGUUGUAGGUGGCGAUGGUGGGAGUACACCCAUUGGCAGUGAUCUUCUCCAUCAAAGCCACGGCCUCUUGGAUCUUCUUGUUCUUGGCGAGCCAGUUCACAAUGGCGGUAUAGGUGUGGAUGUCGAUCGUGCAGCCAUUGGUCGUGGUCUCCUGGGCGAGGGAGUGAGCCUGGAUCAUCAUACCUGCCUUGACGAGGCCAUUGAUGAGGAUCGAGAACGUCGCAGCGCUCACCGGCAUGGAUCUCCUCACCGCCUCGAAGUGAUCCAUCGCCGCGAGGACCUUGCCCGACUUGCACAGGCCGUGGAGGACGAGAUUGUGGGUCUUGAGCGACGGCGCCACGCCGAAAUCCUCCUCCAUCUCCCUAAUAACCGCGAAUGCCUCCUCGGGCUCGCGAGCCAGGCAGUAGCCGGUGAUGAGGACGUUCCAGGUCUCCACAUCCGGCCGAAAUAUCGUCGCGAGCUCGUUCUUGAGGAGAUUCCCGGCCUCCCUGUGGCGCUUGGUCCUGGCAAACACAUCCAGGAGCGCGUUCCCCGUGUGGACGCUGUGCUGGAAGCCGAAUCGAGGGGAGGAGAGGCACUGGAAGAGCUCCCAGGCGAGAUCGGCGUCCUUGAGGCACUGGAAGAUCUUCACCACGGCGUCAGUGGAGAUUUCCCGGCGUAGCCUGUCCAGCGCCGCCUCGAUCGAAUGCCUGGAAGAGGAGGAGGAAGAGUGGAGCAUCUGCGCGAAAUCCCUGUAGCUCCAGACGCCCGCAUUGGAGGAAGCGGCAAGAUCGUUCGCCUCAUCCUCGGUGGAUUCCUGAGCUACCGGCUGCGUGGCGAUCGAUCUGGCGCGGCUGGGUACCUGUGCAAUGCGCGAUAGCCGGGCAAUGCGCGCGCAUCCAAAUCUUGCCGCCAUUCAUAAACCCUAACCCCUAGGGCUUUAGGGCAUCUUUUGUUAUUCUCUUAGGGCUCAUGCGAUGGACGAGGACGACGAUGGAGGUAUUGGAUCGCUGUUCCUGGACGAGAAGUAAGCUACUAGGAUUAAAUCGAUUCUAUCAUCCAUUGCUAGCUACGUUGAGCAGCGCAUUUCCAUCGGCCAUCACGAUAUUCCUGUGCUCAGCCUACAAUGCUCUUCCAGUGAGUGUGUUCUUUCUCUCUCGGUUCCUCUCUUUCAAUGCGAUAGCUCGCAGCGGAUUACGACCUCACUGGCCAGAUAAUCUGGCCUGGCACCGAGCUUCUCCUCAAUUACAUUGUGGAUCAUAGCCAAAUUUUUCAAGGAGCUUCGAUCAUUGAGCUGGGCUCUGGUGUUGGUAUGAAGUUCUUCGCAUGGUUUUCUCUUCUUUCUUUCUUUCUGUUUUUUUUUUUAACACUUGUUCUUUUCCAUGGUUUGUAGGAGUGACUGGCCUUUUGUGUGGAAGGAUUGGCUGCCGCAAAGUCGUCAUGACUGAUCACAAUGACACCGUUUUAAAGGCACGAAUUUUCAUGCAUUGUUUCUUAAAACAAGUUUGGGGAUCGCUGCUAGAUCAUGAGGAAAAACGUGGCGCUUCAGCAGGACACGGUGUUGCUAUCGCGUGAGUUCUUUCUCACUGAUAUAUGAUAUAUGAGAGAUCUCGUUUGUUUGUUUGUUUUUUUUUUUUUUUUUCCUCAUUGCAGGGAUUGCCUGUGAAAAGCUUGAGUGGGGGAAUGAAGAACAGCUCUCUCUCAUCCUUGACAAGCAUCCGGAGGGAUUUGACUACAUCCUUGGGGCCGACAUUUAUAUCCUUUUGAUGGAAGCUUUUUGACUCCAAGUUUCUCCUUGAACAGAUCCUAUCACGCUACCAGCAAUGCAACAUUCCUCCGCUAAUGAGGACUGUCAACAAGCUUUUGCAACACCACCACUGCCGCAAGUUUUUUCUUGCUUACAUCUCUCGCAUACAAAGGUUAUUUGCUUCUUCUUUUGUGUUUUCUUGAAUCUUUUCUUUCUUUUUUUUAGCACUGAUCGAGCAUUCUUUAACGAGGCGUCUGAGCACAACCUGGAGUUGCGCGAGGUGGAAGUGUCGAGAACCAGCCCAGGUGAUGGCAUUUACAGCGGUGUGAUUUACGAAAUCAUUCUCAAGCGAGAUUGUCACAAUUGUCGUACCUUUACUGCUCCACAUAUUUGAGAACUCGAAGAGCUUCUCAAUGGUUUCAAACUCCUCUGGAAACGUUAGCAGUCAACCAGAGAAGAUGGUAUGCCAUAAAGGCUUGGAAACUACACAGCAAACAGUGUUUGCGAAGACUAUGUUGGUAUCUAUAUGGUAUUAGUAAACAUAAUUGAUCUUUUCAUUACACAUAGUUGAUGAUCUGAGUUUUGAAUCUCCUUUGCCUGCAUUUCAAACUAGUCUUUUGAGCCUUGAAUCUCCUUUGCCUAGAUUUCAAACUAGUGAAGGAUCUAUUGCUGAGCAGCAACCUUGUAAAAUAAGCUGCCACGAAACAUUUUGUUGUUUUUACCCCUCAAAACUCCAGGAUGCACUGUCCUGUUACAUUGUGCUUUGCUUGCAUUGUCUCAUACUCAAGGGAAUCGUGCUUUCAUGUGCUAUAUUUGUUACGAUACUGCGACAGCUUCCCAAAUCCCUGCUUGUAAUUGCGUUGGUGUACAUCGCCGUGACUUAGCUGUAGAGCAGCCGAAAUUACAAUGAAGAAUGAUACAGCAAUACAAGUUGGGGGCUCAGAUGGGAACACGGAAGAACAUCAAAAUCUUAAGAGGAGAGCACAGAGAUUGGUGAGUCUGUCAGAGCAAGUGAAAUUUGUGGCUCUAGUAUUGUCAGCCCUGGAGAAGGGUGCAACAUACAUAGGGCAAAUAGCAUUCGUGGGCGCCACUGUGGUCCUGCUGGGGGGUUACGUCUCUCAGCUCAAGCCUUACGAUUUCAAGCUCAUUUCUGGUCUGCUGCUUUCAGAGGGUGUGCGAGUGUUCUUAGUCAGCAAGAAUGUUGAUUACUUAGUAGCCGCUGGGUACCACAAAAGUAUCUUUGGAGGGAUAGUUUUCUGGGCUUUGGGAUGUUAUGGCAUUUGCUGUUCGAGGCAGUGGUCAAAUCAUAUAAAGGAGCUGUCAAUACAUCUGAUAUUCCAUGGGCUCCAAGUGGGUAGUGCAGCUGUAACAUUUGGUUUCUCCCUUGCUCGGAUCAAGUCAGGAGACUACAAACACAUCUCGUCGUCGGAUGUAGAGGAGGUGGCCAACUUUGUGUUUGGGAUCAAGCUGUUCUACAUUCUGACUUUGGUGGAGUCAUCAGUUUUCUUGGCGGUCAAACUACUGGGUUGGGACUCCUUCGGGUUGUGGCUGAGAAGUAUUGCGGGUAAGGCUGAAGCGCAUAUACUUGCACACCAUGUAUGCCCACGUGUGCAUGAGGCGUUUAUGAGAGAGGGAUUCAGUAAAGCAUUAGGUGUAAAUCUUUUCACUUACGUCAUCAAUUGGUUUUUGGAUGAAGAACACCAAAAAUGGGAUGAAGAACACCAAGAACGCAGCUCCCAUCACGAGCAGUUACUGGAGCUCCUUUGCUGGAACAUACCUCACGAAGCUAGAACCUUUGGAAGUAUCAAAUGCAUGAUUCAGCUCAUUGCUCUCGGAACAUCAUAUCAUGAAAAACCAAGGCAUACUGCAAACAAGAUUCUAGCAAAGGUUGUAUUAACACCAGGUCAGUUACACAACUUCGUAUUAGCGGUGCGAGAAUUUGGAAUAAUUCCUUUGGCGGUUGUGGACUUUGACGUGAUCAAAUUCCUGGACCGCAUUGUCACAGAAGCACCAGUGGGCUUCCUUCCUCGUGAAGCAGUUUCCAAGCAAGCAUCCGAGUAUCUAAUCAAAUCCAUUAUUGACGGAAGCGACGACGAGAUCAAAGCCGAAGCGGCCUGGACAUUCUUAGAGUGGUGGAGCAGUCCGAGUGUUUACCGGAGCUAUGCUUUUGAUCCUGCAGAUAUCUUUCACAGGAUUUUCAUUCAUAGGCAGUGGUCAAUAUCUAAAAGACAAGUAAGCCAUUCCGAGCUCGAAACAGGUUCGGGAUAUGAAUCAGUUACUGGUCCGUUUAUAACAGUCUUGAGUAAGAAACAUCAGAGGUCAGGUAUCAUGAACAAGUUUUUGAGUAGGGUGGACUUCAGUAAACUCAAGAACAAGCGAAGCACUAUCAACCUGUCUGGCAUUGUCACUGAGGUUAUUGGUGCCAAGUCAGAGCUAGACGAUAUUGUAGUUGGGCUGGUGGCUGCUUGGAUAUGGUUCAUGGAUGAAUCCACUUUCCACAAGGCAAUGUCCAACUUGAGUGAAGCGGAGCUGGGCAUGCUCAAGAGGAGUCCUCGUAUUUAUGAGGCUAUACUGUUAUCUGAGAAGGGAGAAUGGUUUCACAACAGACACACACUAUCUUUAGAAGGUAAGGGAGUUUAUAUAGCUGGUCUCUAGCCAGUAACCACCAUUUUCUAACACGAAGUUCUUGUAAUUCACAAAUACAAUACGUACUGUACACAGGCAUUGGUACCACAUCUGGAGAUCGACGUCACAGCCAAGAACACUGAGUAUCAAGCUUGCUCCUUCAGUCAGUCGUCAGUAUGGACAUGGGAGGAACGUAGCCUCUGCCGGUCAUCUCCAGGUAAUAAAAGUGAGCUCUGUCCAUCCUGUUUGCUGUGAUCAUCCCAUUGAGCAGUGCGUUGUAGGUGACGCGAUCGGGCCUCCACCAGCGAGUCAUCUCCUGGUACACGGGUUCACCUUGCCCGACUUGAUGAGAGCGCUGAUGAUCGAGUUGUAGGCGUAAGGGUGCGGCAUUCCUUCCUUCCUGAUGGCGUUGAAAAGCGACACGGCCUCGUCGACCCGGUUCGCUUUGCAGAGAUGGAAGAUCAGCCUGGUCCGCGUCUGGCUGUUUGCAACACCGCUCCUCUCCAUCUCGUCAAAGAGCAUGCAGCCACCUUCGAGCUUCCCCGACUUGCAGAGCCCGUCCACCAAGCUGCUGUAGACGAAGCUGUCCGGAGGUCAGCCUCUCUCCUUCAUGUGCUGGAAGUAUAGCGAGGCCUUGGUCAGCUGGCGGCGCUUGCAGAGGCCGGAGAUGAGAGCCCCGUAGGUGACAACGUUUGCGGAGCACCGGCUGGAGCUCAUGUCGUCGAAGACUCCACAGGCAGCGUCGGUGUUCCCGGCCUUGCAGAACCCCGAGAUGAGAAUGUUGUACGUGUAGACGUCGGGCUUGCAUCCGGCCUCGAGCAUCUCGUCGAAGAAGGCCCGUGCUGCCUCAACGUCGCCACUCUUGCAAAGCCCGUCGAUGAGGAUGUUGUAAGUGAUGGUGUCCGGGGUGCAAAACGCCUUCUUCAUCUGGGCCAGCAUCUCCAGCGCACAGUCCAUCUUCCUGGCCUUGCACAGGCCGUGGAUGAGAGCGCUGUACACCACCUCGUUUGGAGCCAGGCCUCGAGCUUCCAUCGACUUGAAGAUCCGGACUGCCGCUCCAAUCCUCCCGGCCUUGGAGAGGCCGUCGAUCAUGGUGCUGAGAGUUACCACGUCGGGAACGCAGCCGUGGGACGUCAUCGUCUUGUAGACCGAGGAAGCUUGCGGGAUUUUCCCGGUCUGGAGGAGUUCCCGGAUGAGAGCAGUGUAGCAGACGGUGUCGAGAGCCAGUCCCCGCAAAGCCAUCUCCUUGAAAAGCUUGUAAGCUUCGAAGGAUCGCUUCUCCUUGCCGAGGCCAUCGAUGAGCGAGGUGUAAGUGACCACGUCCGGCGUGCAGCCAUUGUCGACGAUCUUGCGAAGGAGAUCAAUGGCUUCUUCGAGGCGUCCCAUCUUGCAAAGACCAUUGAGGAGAGCGUUGUAGGUGGCGAUGGUGGGAGUACACCCAUUGGCAGUGAUCUUCUCCAUCAGAGCCACGGCCUCUUCGAUCUUCUUGUUCUUGGCGAGCCAGUCCACAAUGGCGGUGUAGGUGUGGAUGUCGAUCGUGCAGCCAUUGAUUGUGGUCUCCUGGGCGAGGGAGUGAGCUUGGAUCAUCAUACCUGCCUUGACGAGGCCAUUGAUGAGGAUCGAGAAUGUCGCAGCGGUCACCGGCAUGGAUCUCCUCACCAUCUCGAAGUGAUCCAUCGCCGCGAGGACCUGGCCCGACUUGCACAGGCCGUGGAGGACGAGAUUGUGGGUCUUGAGCGACGGCGCCACGCCGUAAUCCUCCUCCAUCUCCCUAAUAACCGCGAAUGCCUCCUCGGGCUCGCGAGCCAGGCAGUAGCCGGUGAUGAGGACGUUCCAGGUCUCCACAUCCGGCCGAAAUAUCGUCGCGAGCUCGUUCUUGAGGAGAUUCCCGCCCUCCCUGUGGCGCUUGGUCCUGGCAAACACAUCCAGGCUGUGCUGGAAGCCGAAUCGAGGGGAGGAGAGGCACUGGAAGAGCUCCCAGGCGAGAUCGGCGUCCUUGAGGCACUGGAAGAUCUUCACCACGGCGUCAGUGGAGAUUUCCCGGCGUAGCCUGCCCAGCGCCGCCUCGAUCGAAUGACUGGAAGAGGAGGAGGAAGAGUGGAGCAUCUGCGCGAAAUCCCUGUAGCUCCAGACGCCCGCAUUGGAGCAAGCGGCAAGAUCGUCCGCCUCAUCCUCGGUGGAUUCCUGAGCUACCGGCUGCGUGGCGAUCGAUCUGGCGCGGCUGGGUACCUGGGCAAUGCGCGAUAGCCGGGCAAUGCGCGAGCAUCCAAAUCUUGCCGCCAUUCAUAAACCCUAACCCGUAGGGCUUUAGCGCAUCUUUUUUGAGUAACAUUCUUAUUCUCUUAGGGCUCAUGCGAUGGACGAGGACGACGAUGGAGGAGGUAUUGGAUCGCUGUUCCUGGACGAGAAGUAAGCUACUAGGAUUUAAUCGAUUCUAUCAUCCACUGCUAGCUACGUUGAGCAGCGCAUUUCCAUCGGCCAUCACGAGAUUCCUGUGCUCAGCCUACAAUGCUCUUCCAGUGAGUGUGUUCUUUCUCUCUCGGUUCCUCUCUUUCAAUGCGAUAGCUCGCAGCGGACUACGACCUCACUGGCCAGAUAAUCUGGCCUGGCACCGAGCUUCUCCUCAAUUACAUUGUGGAUCAUAGCCAAAGUUUUCAAGGAGCUUCGAUCAUUGAGCUGGGCUCUGGUGUUGGUAUAAAGUUCUUGGCAUGGUUUUCUCUUCUUUCUCUCUUUUUUUUUUUUUUCUAACACUUGUUUUUUUUUCAUGGUUUUUUUUCAUGGAGUGACUGGCCUUUUGUGUGGAAGGAUUGGCUGCCGCAAAGUCGUCAUGACUGAUCACAAUGACAUCGUUUUAAAGGCAGGAAUUUUCAUGCAUGGUUUCUUAAAACAAGUUUGGGGAUCGCUGCUAGAUCAUGCGGAAAAACGUGGCGCUUCAGCAGGACACGGCGUUGCUAUCGCGUGAGUUCUUUCUCACUGAUAUAUGAUAUAUGAGAGAUCUCGUUUGUUUGUUUGAUUUUUUCUUUUUUCCUCAUUGCAGGGAUUGCCUGUGAAAAGCUUGAGUGGGGGAAUGAAGAACAGCUCUCUCUCAUCCUUGACAAGCAUCCGGAGGGAUUUGACUACAUCCUUGGGGCCGACAUUUAUAUCCCUUUGAUGGAAGCUUUUUUACUCCAAGUUUCUCCUUGAACAGAUCCUAUCACGCUACCAGCAAUGCAACAUUCCUCCGCUAAUCAGGACUGUCAACAAACUUUUGCAACACCACCACUGCCGCAAGUUUCUUCUUGCUUACGUCUCUCGCAUACAGAGGUUAUUUUGCUUCUUUUUUUGUGUUUUCUUGAAUCUUUUGUUUCUUUUUUUCAGCACUGAUCGAGCAUUCUUUAACGAGGCAUCUGAGCACAACCUGGAGUUGCGCGAGGUGGAAGUGUCGAGAACCAGCCCAGGUGAUGGCAUUUACAGCGGUGUGAUUUACGAAAUCAUUCUCAAGCGAGAUUGUCACAAUUGUCGUACCUUUACUGCUCCAAACAUUUGAGAACUCGAAGAGCUACUCAAUGGUUUCAAACUCCUCUGGAAACGUUAGCAGUCAACCAGAGAAGAUGGUAUGCCAUAAAGGCUUGGAAACUACACAGCAAACAGUCUUUGCGAAGACUAUGUUGGUAUCUAUAUGGUAUUAGUAAACAUAAUUGAUCUUUUCAUUACACAUGGUUGAUGAUCUGAGUUUUGAAUCUCCUUUGCCUGCAUUUCAAACUAGUCUUUUGAGCCUUGCAUCUCCUUUGCCUGCAUUUCAAACUAGUCUUUUGAGCCUUGAAUUUCCUUUGCCUAGAUUUAAAACUAGUGAAGGAUCUAUUGCUGAGCAGCAACCUUGUAAAAUAAGCUGCCACGAAACAUUUUGUUGUUUUUACCCCUCAAAACUCCAAGAUGCACUGUCCUGUUACAUUAUGCUUUGCUUGCAUUGUCUCAUACUCAACAGAAUCGUGCUUUCAUGUGCUAUAUUUGUUACGAUACUGCGACAGCUUCCCAAAUCCCUGCUUGUAAUUUCGUUGGUGUACAUCGCCGUGACAUAGCUGUAGAGCAGCCGAGAUUACAAUGGAGAUACAAGAUUGGGACUCAGAUGGCAACACGGAAGAACAUAAGAGGAGAGCACAGAGAUUGGUGAGUCUGUCAGUGCAAGUGAAAUAUGUGGCUCUAGUAUUGGCAGCCUUGGAGCAAGGUGCAACAUACAUAGGGCAAAUAGCGUUCGUGGGUGCCACAGUGAUCCUGCUGGGGGGUUAUGUCUCUCAGCUGAAGUCUUACGAUUUCAGGCUCAUUUCUGGUCUGCUGCUUUCAGAGGGUGUGCGAGUGUUCCUAGGCAGCAAGAAUGUUGAUUACUUAGUAGCCGCUGGGUACCACAAAAGUAUCUUAGGAGGGAUAUUGACCUCGUCAUUGUACUGCGCUUUCGUAGGUUAUGACUUUUGCUAUCUGAGGACGCUGCCGCCAAAGCUUAUAAAGCACCUGUUCAUACAUCUCAUAUUCCAUGGGCUCCAAGUGUGUAGUGCAGCUGUAACAUUUGGUUUCUCUCUUGCUCGGCUCGAGUCAGGAGACUACAAACCCAUCUCAUCGUCGGGUACAGGGCAGGUGGCCAACUUUGUGUAUGGGAUCAGGCUGUUCUACAUUCUAACUUUGGUGGAGUCAUCAGUUUUCUUGGCGGUCAAACUACUGGGUUGGGACUCCUUCAUGUUGUGGCUGAGAAGUAUUGCAGGGGAAGCUGAAGGGCAUAUACUUGCACUCCAUGUAGGCCCACGUGUACAUGAGGCGUUUAUGACAGAGGGAUUCAGAAAAGCAUUAGGUGUAAAUCUUUUCACUUAUGUCAUCAAUUAUUUUUUGGAUGGUGUGGAAGAACAAUGCAGCUUCGAUCACAAGAAGGUACUGGAGGUCCUUUGCUGGAACAUACCUGAUCAAGCUAGAACCUUCGGAAGUAUCAAAUGCAUGAUUCAGCUCAUUGUUCUCGGAACAUCAUAUCAUGAAGGAGCAAGGCAUACUGCAAACAAGAUUCUAGCAAAGGUUGUAUUAACAAAAGGUCAGUUACACAACUUCCUAUUAGCUGUGCGAGAAUUUGGAAUAAUUCCUUUGGCGGUUGUGGACGGUGACCUGAUCAAAUUCCUGGACCACAUUGUCACAGAAACACCAGUCCGCUUUCUUCCUUGGGAAACCAGUUCCCAGCAAGCCUCCAAAAACCUAAUCAAAUCCUCAUUGACCGGAACCACCACAAAAUCAAGGCCCAGGGGCCCCAAAUUCUUGAAGGGGGGAAGANNNNNNNNNNNNNNNNNNNNNNNNNNNNNNNNNNNNNNNNNNNNNNNNNNNNNNNNNNNNNNNNNNNNNNNNNNNNNNNNNNNNNNNNNNNNNNNNNNNNCACUUGAGUGAAGCGGAGCUGGGCAUGCUCAAGAGGAGUCCUCGUAUUUAUGAGGCUAUACUGUGAUCUGAGAAGGGAGAAUGGCUUCACAACAGACACACACUAUCUUUAGAAGGUAAGGGAGUUUAUAUAGCUGGUCUCUAGCCAGUAACCACCAUUUUCUAACACGAAGUUCUUGUAAUUCACAAAUACAAUACGUACUGUACACAGGCCUUGGUACCACAUCUGGAGACCGACGUCACAGCCAAGAACACUGAGUAUCAAGCUUGCUCCUUCAGUCAGUCGUCAGUAUGGACAUGGGAGGAACGUAGCCUCUGCCGGUCAUCUCCAGGUAAUAAAAGUGAGCUCUGUCCAUCCUGUUUGCUGCGCUCAUCCCAUUGAGCAGUGCGUUGUAGGUGACGCGAUCGGGCCUCCACCAGCGAGUCAUCUCCUGGUACACGGGUUCACCUUGCCCGACUUGAUGAGAGCGCUGAUGAUCGAGUUGUAGGCGUAAGGGUGCGGCAUUCCUUCCUUCCUGAUGGCGUUGAAAAGCGACACGGCCUCGUCGACCCGGUUCGCUUUGCAGAGAUGGAAGAUCAGCCUGGUCCGCGUCUGGCUGUUUGCAACACCGCUCCUCUCCAUCUCGUCAAAGAGCAUGCAGCCACCUUCGAGCUUCCCCGACUUGCAGAGCCCGUCCACCAAGCUGCUGUAGACGAAGCUGUCCGGAGGUCAGCCUCUCUCCUUCAUGUGCUGGAAGUAUAGCGAGGCCUUGGUCAGCUGGCGGCGCUUGCAGAGGCCGGAGAUGAGAGCCCCGUAGGUGACAACGUAUGCGGAGCACCGGCUGGAGCUCAUGUCGUCGAAGACUCCACAGGCAGCGUCGGUGUUCCCGGCCUUGCAGAACCCCGAGAUGAGAAUGUUGUACGUGUAGACGUCGGGCUUGCAUCCGGCCUCGAGCAUCUCGUCGAAGAAGGCCCGUGCUGCCUCAACGUCGCCACUCUUGCAAAGCCCGUCGAUGAGGACGUUGUAAGUGAUGGUGUCCGGGGUACAAAACGCCUUCUUCAUCUGGGCCAACAUCUCCAGCGCACAGUCCAUCUUCCUGGCCUUGCACAGGCCGUGGAUGAGAGCGCUGUACACCACCUCGUUUGGAGCCAGGCCUCGAGCUUCCAUCGACUUGAAGAUCCGGACUGCCGCUCCAAUCCUCCCGGCCUUGGAGAGGCCGUCGAUCAUGGUGCUGAGAGUUACCACGUCGGGAACGCAGCCGUGGGACGUCAUCGUCUUGUAGACCGAGGAAGCUUGCGGGAUUUUCCCGGUCUGGAGGAGUUCCCGGAUGAGAGCAGUGUAGCAGACGGUGUCGAGAGCCAGUCCCCGCAAAGCCAUCUCCUUGAAAAGCUUGUAAGCUUCGAAGGAUCGCUUCUCCUUGCCGAGGCCAUCGAUGAGCGAGGUGUAAGUGACCACGUCCGGCGUGCAGCCAUUGUCGACGAUCUUGCGAAGGAGAUCAAUGGCUUCUUCGAGGCGUCCCAUCUUGCAGAGACCAUUGAGGAGAGCGUUGUAGGUGGCGAUGGUGGGAGUACACCCAUUGGCAGUGAUCUUCUCCAUCAGAGCCACGGCCUCU
rnacentral:lncRNA from 1 species